CUAUAAGUUUAGGGGUGCCUGGCAUUUUGCGCGCAAAACCAGCCGGGCUGAGAUCAUACCCAUUGAACCUGAUCCGGGUAAUGCCGGCGAAGGGAACAAACGAUCCGCGAACGU
rnacentral:ncRNA from 2 species